GACGAACGCUGGCGGCGUGCUUAACACAUGCAAGUCGAACGGAAAGGCCCUGCUUUUGUGGGGUGCUCGAGUGGCGAACGGGUGAGUAACACGUGAGUAACCUGCCCUUGACUUCGGGAUAACUUCAGGAAACUGGGGCUAAUACCGGAUAGGAGCUCCUGCUGCAUGGUGGGGGUUGGAAAGUUUCGGCGGUUGGGGAUGGACUCGCGGCUUAUCAGCUUGUUGGUGGGGUGGCUUACCAAGGCUUUGACGGGUAGCCGGCCUGAGAGGGUGACCGGCCACAUUGGGACUGAGAUACGGCCCAGACUCCUACGGGAGGCAGCAGUGGGGAAUAUUGCACAAUGGGCGGAAGCCUGAUGCAGCAACGCCGCGUGCGGGAUGACGGCCUUCGGGUUGUAAACCGCUUUCGCCUGUGACGAAGCGUGAGUGACGGUAAUGGGUAAAGAAGCACCGGCUAACUACGUG
rnacentral:rRNA from 1 species